UUAUGGCCAUAUCACACUGAAACACCAAUUCCCGUAUGAUCACCAAAGUUAAGCAAUGUCAGUACCUAGAUGGGUGACUGCUUGGGAAUACCAGGUACUGUAA